rnacentral:rRNA from 1 species
AUACGGAGGGGGUUAGCGUUGUUCGGAAUUACUGGGCGUAAAGCGCACGUAGGCGGAUUGGAAAGUUGGGGGUGAAAUCCCAGGGCUCAACCCUGGAACUGCCUCCAAAACUAACAGUCUAGAGUUCGAGAGAGGUGAGUGGAAUUCCAAGUGUAGAGGUGAAAUUCGUAGAUAUUUGGAGGAACACCAGUGGCGAAGGCGGCUCACUGGCUCGAUACUGACGCUGCGGUGCGAAAGCGUGGGGAGCAAACAGGAUUAGAAACCCCAGUAGUCC